rnacentral:rRNA from 1 species
GACGAACGCUGGCGGCGUGCCUAACACAUGCAAGUCGAGCGAGGUGCCUGGUCUUCGGACCGGAACAUCGAGCGGCGAACGGGUGAGUAACACGUGAAGAACCUGCCCCGAAGACUGGGAUAACCCGAGGAAACUCGGGCUAAUACCGGAUGAGCUCCACGGAUCGCAUGGUCUGUGGAGGAAAAGUCCGCUGCUUCGGGAGGGCUUCGCGGCCUAUCAGCUAGUUGGCGGGGUAACGGCCCACCAAGGCUAAGACGGGUAGCUGGUCUGAGAGGACGAUCAGCCACACUGGGACUGAGACACGGCCCAGACUCCUACGGAGGCAGCAGUGGGGAAUCUUGCGCAAUGGGCGAAAGCCUGACGCAGCAACGCCGC